rnacentral:rRNA from 1 species
CCGGAAGGCGCGGGCCUUAGUGGCGGACGGGUGAGUAACGCGUGGGGAACCUGCCCCGUACCGGGGGAUAACACCUGGAAACAGGUGCUAAUACCGCAUAACAGAAGGGGACGCAUGUUUCUUUCUUGAAAACUCCGGUGGUACGGGAUGGACCCGCGUCUGAUUAGCUGGUUGGCGGGGUAACGGCCCACCAAGGCGACGAUCAGUAGCCGGCCUGAGAGGGCGGACGGCCACAUUGGGACUGAGACACGGCCCAAACUCCUACGGGAGGCAGCAGUGGGGAAUAUUGCACAAUGGGGGAAACCCUGAUGCAGCGACGCCGCGUGAGUGAAGAAGCGUUUCGGCGCGUAAAGCUCUGUCAGCGGGGAAGAAACACGGUUCGCGAGAGCCGCGGACGGUACCCGACCAAGAAGCCCCGGCUAACUACGUGCCAGCAGCCGCGGUAAUACGUAGGGGGCAAGCGUUAUCCGGAUUCACUGGGUGUAAAGGGAGCGUAGACGGCGAGACAAGUCUGGAGUGAAAGGCCGGGGCCCAACCCCGGGACUGCUCUGGAAACUGCCUGGCUGGAGUACAGGAGAGGUAAGUGGAAUUCCUAGUGUAGCGGUGAAAUGCGUAGAUAUUAGGAGGAACACCAGUGGCGAAGGCGGCUUACUGGACUGUAACUGACGUUGAGGCUCGAAAGCGUGG